rnacentral:lncRNA from 1 species
GGACCUUCUUUCUCAUCUCUCAACCUCAAGCACAAGCCUUAGGAAGGAACUUCACCUUUUCAUCAUCAAGGUCACCACAUUACACUGUGAACAGUGCUGUGCAAUGUAACCACCAGAGUUUUGCAAUCAUAACCUUGUGUUCCCAUUGGCAUAUUAAGACCACUACCACUUGUAAACUUCAGCAGCCAAAGCACUCAGUACUCAGCACCUUAAUUGUCUUGCUUCCUCCCAGUAUACAGGCUGUUAAAUAAUCAAGAAUAUUGCAAGAGACACUGCAGGAGAAUGAAAUGCAUUUAAGGAAGUAAGCCCAAAAUAUUGAACGAUGAAGGUUUUAAUGGUGAAAACAGAAACUCUGGGGAAGGAACUUGUAUGAAUAAACCUCAACAUCACAUUGCCAUCUUCACGUUUAGUCAUGAAGAUCUUUCAUUUACCUUUGACAAAAUGAGAAGAGCAGUAAAAUCCAGGACCAAAUGCAGACGGAAUGCUGCAAGGGAAGAGAAAUUUUAUAAAUCACCAAGAAAAAUGCAUAGAAUUAUAUGAUGAAGAUAUAUAUAAGGAUCACCGUGUCAUUUUUAUUGCCAAGAAGGAUUGAUAAAAGAAUGAAGUCUUUACUGGUUUUGCGUUUGUCAUGCUAAAUGGAUAGGUGGUCUCAGAUAAAUCCUGUUUUUAGAAGGUAUGACAGUGUGAGAAAGCUAAGUUCAUUCUUGCAUUAAAACUGACUUUGAAAUCUACUGAUUGCAAUUUCCAAGAUAUAUCCAAGAGGGCUGUAAACAGAGCAUUUUUCUGUUCAUCUUGAUAAUAUCUUGAUAUUAUGUAUUGUUCACAUAGAUACACAUAGUUCAUAUAUAUACGAUAGGCAUUAAUAGACUAAUAUUUUAAUACAGAACAUUUAGCAAAAUUCCCCAAAGUAAGGGAGAUGUGCCUUUGUUUAAUUUGUAAUGGGCACAGGAUUUUCUGAAGAAAAAUUUAAACUAUUAUGGUUGUGACACUUGGGAUAUUUUAAUUUACAGAAUUUGACCUCUGCAGACUCCAGAGCUGAUAAACCAUGAACUGUAAUUAAUGCUUUUUGCCACCCCUCUGCACAGACUUCUGUGGUGUUCUAAGUGGGGAAGUACAACUAUGUUAUUUCUAACUUUUGUUUUGCCAAUGCAAUCUCCUGAUCCCACCAAAAAUAAUUCAUUCUAGCAUUUGUUAGCAAAUCCCCUUCAAAAU